rnacentral:rRNA from 1 species
UACGAGGGGGGCAAGCGUUGUUCGGAAUUAUUGGGCGUAAAGGGCGCGUAGGCGGUUCGGCAAGUCUCUAGUGAAAUCUCCGGGCUCAACUCGGAGUCUGCUGGGGAAACUGCCGGGCUGGAGUGUGGGAGAGGAGAGUGGAAUUCCUGGUGUAGCGGUGAAAUGCGUAGAUAUCAGGAGGAACACCGGUGGCGAAAGCGGCUCUCUGGACCACAACUGACGCUGAGGCGCGAAAGCUAGGGGAGCAAACAGG